rnacentral:lncRNA from 1 species
GGGGGGAGCGAGCGUGUACAGGAGGAGGAGGAAUGAGGGAGAGAGAGGGAGAGAGAGAGUGCAAACAAUGUCAUUCUGUUCAGGAGGCAAUGCUGCAGUCAACUUUGCCGCGCCAUGAAAGCACAUCACCAGCAAGCAAAAGGGCUCAGAGUGAGUGCAGAGAAGUUUUCCUCCUCUCCUCCCCGUGUGUGAUGCGGCACGAGACUCCCCUGAGCAGGCUCAUACACCCGUCCGGCUGCUGGUGGCGUGUUGGAACAUGCCUUGACUUGUUGUGCUGCCUGAGUGAAGCAAGGAGAGAGAGACAGCCACAAACACACAGAGAGAGAGAGAAGGAAGAGGCUGCUGGUCAACAGUCUUCCUGGUGUGAAGUCACCCACAGCUCUGCAGCACCCGUGGACGGUGUACUCGUUGGAGAUGAGGAGAGUGGAGAGAGGAGCUGCCCAGCCAGCUUGAGCUUACGGCUGUUGGCAAGGCCCCAUGCCACCCUUUUGGCGCAUUUUAGCACAAGGCCACUUCCAACAACCACCAUCAACACCAAAGCCGGGCAUGAGAAGUGUGAACGUCACAGGUGGAAAGACCGGUGGGGGAUUCUGCUGGGGCGGACAGACGGACAAAUGAGCGGACGGACGCAGGCUGCUGUGGGUGUUUCUUUGGCAGUGUCUUAGCUGGUUGUUGUGAGGAGUGAGAACGAAGCAAUCAGCAAGUAUACUGCCGCAGAAAUUCUUCGCAAUAAGAGGCCCUGGGUGUCACGAUGGGGAAAAAACAAAGAGGGAGGACAUAUGCACUGACACUUUAACAAACGGCCACACGGAUCCUGCUGCUGCUGCUACUGUAAGUUUUUACCUGACACAGAGUGACUGAGAGCAUGUUUGUUAACAGCUUCUACAGUGUUUACAAUUGGAUCCAAGCAUCACACUUCAACACUGUGUGCUGUGCUCUCAUGAUCCUCUGCUGCCAUCUUGUGACUGAAAGCAACCUCCCAGCAUGCUGUCCUUCAUCAAACACUGCACCAGUUCCAAAAAACCCACAUUGUGUUCCUUUGUUUUCAUUCAGACUCUGUUAAAUCCCUUUUCAUUCAGAAAUUACAGCUUGGCUUACACUGAUUCAGUCCCCCCUGUUUUUUUUUGUUUUUGUUUUGGUUUUUUUUUGCAUUUUAGUUGCAAAUGCAUGAUUUGCUUUGGGAGUUUUUUUUCUGGAUGCUAACGUGAAAAAUGGACUCCUAAUUUAUCAGUCAUGGUCUGAUCAUUUCGUCAUGUAAAAGAGGAGGUAAAUAAAGGUUCCAUAAAAGAUUGAUUUAUCA